rnacentral:lncRNA from 1 species
GGCCAGGGGUUCGGCUUCCACCCACUUGGUCAAAUAUCGAUUGCGACCACUAUGAACUUUCUUUGGCCAGACGUCGGGAGAAAAGGAUCGAGUAUCUCGAUUCUCCAUUGAGCGAAAGGCCAGGGUGCGAUAAUGAAUGUUAGCUAACUGCCGGGUUGAUGCUGUAUGUUGGCAUACUUUUGAUAUGGUUCGCACCUUCGGACCAAGUCAG